GCUUCCGUGGCGCAAUGGUAGCGCGUCAGACUUCUAUAUCAGGCAAUCUGAAGGUUGCGGGUUCGAGUCCCGCCGGAAGUG
rfam:Coccidioides immitis RS genomic scaffold supercont3.4, whole genome shotgun sequence.